rnacentral:rRNA from 1 species
UACGUAGGGUGCAAGCGUUGUCCGGAAUUAUUGGGCGUAAAGAGCUCGUAGGCGGUUUGUCGCGUCGAAUGUGAAAACCCGGGGCUCAACCCCGGGCCUGCAUUCGAUACGGGCAGACUAGAGUUCGGUAGGGGAGUCUGGAAUUCCUGGUGUAGCGGUGGAAUUCGUAGAUAUCGGGAGGAACACCGGUGGCGAAGGCGGCGACCUGGGUAGAUACUGACGCUGAGGCGCGAAAGCGUGGGGAGCAAACAGG